rnacentral:rRNA from 1 species
UACGUAGGGUGCAAGCGUUAAUCGGAAUUACUGGGCGUAAAGCGUGCGCAGGCGGUUAUGUAAGACAGGUGUGAAAUCCCCGGGCUUAACCUGGGAACUGCAUUUGUGACUGCAUAGCUAGAGUACGGUAGAGGGGGAUGGAAUUCCGCGUGUAGCAGUGAAAUUCGUAGAUAUCGGGAGGAACACCAGUGGCGAAGGCGGCGAUCUGGGAAGAUACUGACGCUGAGGUGCGAAAGCGUGGGGAGCAAACAGG